rnacentral:rRNA from 1 species
GGGCCCGCACAAGCGGUGGAGCAUGUGGUUUAAUUCGAUGAUACGCGAGGAACCUUACCAGGGCUUAAAUGUAACGGGACAGAUCUAGAGAUAGAUCCUUCUUCGGACUACUUACAAGGUGCUGCAUGGUUGUCGUCAGCUCGUGCCGUGAGGUGUCAGGUUAAGUCCUAUAACGAGCGCAACCCCUAUCGUUAGUUGCCAUCAAGUAAAGUUGGGAACUCUAGCGAAACUGCCGGUGCAAACCGAGAGGAAGGUGGGGAUGACGUCAAAUCAUCACGGCCCUUACGUUCUGGGCUACACACGUGCUACAAUGGUCGGUACAGAAAGCAGCCACUAUGCGAAUAGGAGCGAAUCCUUAAAACCGGUCUCAGUUCGGAUCGGGGUCUGCAACUCGGCCCCGUGAAGCUGGAAUCGCUAGUAAUCGGAUAU